rnacentral:rRNA from 1 species
GAGCUCGGCUCGACUCUCCCACCCUUUGUGAACGUACCUCUGUUGCUUUGGCGGCUCCGGCCGCCAAAGGACCUUCAAACUCCAGUCAGUAAACGCAGACGUCUGAUAAACAAGUUAAUAAACUAAAACUUUCAACAACGGAUCUCUUGGUUCUGGCAUCGAUGAAGAACGCAGCGAAAUGCGAUAAGUAAUGUGAAUUGCAGAAUUCAGUGAAUCAUCGAAUCUUUGAACGCACAUUGCGCCCCUUGGUAUUCCGGGGGGCAUGCCUGUUCGAGCGUCAUUACAACCCUCAAGCUCUGCUUGGAAUUGGGCACCGUCCUCACUGCGGACGCGCCUUCAAAGACCUCGGGCGGGUGGCUGUUCAGCCCUCAAGCGUAGUAGAAUACACCUCGCUUUGGAGCGGUUGGCGUCGCCCGCCGGACGAACCUUCUGAACUUUUCUCAAGGUUGACCUCGGAUCAGGUGGGGAUACCCCGCUGAACUUAAGCAUAUCAUAAGCGGAGGAA